rnacentral:lncRNA from 1 species
AGACCCAAACUCAUACUAGAUUAAUAACAUGAACCUUAAAAAAUAAUAAUAUAGGCCCAACGUGAAUGAGACAUAGGCCCAAACGAUUGUGCCUUGAACCCACAUUGGUUCCAUUCGUCAUGCACACAAGAAAGGCUCUAGCGGUCGAGUCCCAAUGGAUGCAUAAAGCCCGGUUCUCACAACUUUCUAGUUAUUAUAUCCAAUUGCAUAAAUUCCUUUCAUGUUGAAUGUUGAUUUUUCUUCAAGUACUUGUUUCAAACAAUUUAUGAGAGACAAGUGAACUGCUUAUUUUCGGCUAAUGAUUACCCAAAGCAGAAAUAGACUAAAGUUUCCUAUCUAACACCAAACAACGAUAUUAAUACAAAAUCUAAUUAAUCAAUACUUAACUAAUAUGGACUACUGGGAUAGACAUGCAAACAGGAACUCUUUUAUGAUUGCUAGAAAUUAAAUUACAAUACUGGAUUCAAAUGCUCUUCCAUAGGCACAAACUCGACUGAUGAUCCAUAGGCUAAUAAUAAGUCCCAAAACAGUCCGGUUAACUCAAGAAUAUUAAGAUGUUCCCUUAGUAUUCCCAGAUAAUUCCAUUAUAAACUGAACACAAGACACCUGAGCUUCUCAUGUGAAACAGGUAAGACUAAUUGGCUUGCACGUUGAUUUUUAACUACUGGAAAUUCAAUUUUAUUACACUAAGACUGCCAAUUUUUAAAAAAAUAACAUUCAGAUCUAAAGUCCUAUAAUAUAGUUCAUAUAAUUCAAUACAAAAAAAUAACAUAUCAUAUCACAGAAUCCAUCUAAGUUAUAAUAGAGAUUAACAUGAGAGCAAAAUUGCAACAGGAACAUAGAUCCAAUUCAUUUCAUACGUCCACCUCAAAAUUACAUCAACUUGGGAUUCGAUUGUGUUCCUGGUUUUCGAAUUACAGCAAAAGAAGAAUGAGUCAGCAAAAGCAGGUGAACAGCAGCAGUAGCAAAAGGCAAGUUUUAGUAGUACAAAACCAUACACAUCCUAUAGAACGAAUACAAAAAUCCCAGGAAGGUUGAUAAGUCAAAUGCAACCAGUAAAUUGAACCAAACAGCCCAAAAUGCACUCAGUCACACCAGCAAAAUAACAGCACAUCUACACAGCCCCAAAUCUCACUUAAAACCAAUCUAAUUAGACUCAAAAUCACUCGGAAUCAACCCAGAAACCCUUCUGAAUAUCAACAAUCAAAUAGUAGACCGGAGAAUGUGAAUUAACAACUAGAACAUCAAAAUUGACCUAUACUUUCCUAUGAAAUGAUGAUUUUCUUUUUUGCUUUUUGAAUUUUUUGUUGUUUUUUUGUUUGUUUUGAAGUAUUGGAUCUAAGAUUUCGAUUUUGAAAUCCAAAUCAAGAAAUCAGAUCUGCAGAGACUGGAUUCUGGGGUUAAUUGUGUGGGAUCCAAACUUGUUAGUGAAGCAAAGAUCAUGCCCUUUUAUAGGCACAAUCAUAUUUUCAAUUUUCUUUUACUCCCUCCUAAUUUUCAGUUGUUGUCCAUCAUUUUUAACCUUGUUAUUUAAGGAAACAACCUGAGUUUACUAAUAAAUUCACUAGGGUCCUAUUCUGGUAAGGUCUACACUAUUCUAGUGUGAUUUACCAUGUUCUAACCAAUACCAAAUACCUAAACUACUCUUUAAUACCUCUAAAAUUACUUAUCCUAACCCCCUACCUAAAAUUAUCUAGUUAAAAAACUUUAUCAAACUAAACACACAGCAAAGUGAUCAAUUGCUGAUGAAUUAAGCCAUUCAAUCAAAAACUUGAAACCAACUGAACUUAAUCAGAGUUAAUAACCAAAUAACAUUUCAAACUAUUACUAACUAAACAGAAUUACAAUUGAGACUAAAAUAACGAGUCAUUAUUCAAGCAGCAAAAUCGAAACAAAUCUAACUUUUAACAGAAUGAAUAACAAUUAACGCCUAAAACUAAUUAUGAAUCAAAUAGACAAGGGUGAAAAUGAAGCAGAAGUAAAGGAGAGUCAAUAAUUUCGGACUGACAAUUUUACUAAACAAAAUUAAGAAGCUACAUAGACAUGGAAGUUCAGUAAGCAUUAAGAGAAACAAAAUAAAAGAAACUAAACUCGAAGACUCACCAACGCCCUUCAAGACUCUGGUCAAAUGGCUUUCCAAAUUCAGCAAAUUCAGACGAUGUUUGGACUCUAAUGAUGAUCAAUUUCCCACCAGGAAGUCCCAGGGAUCUUAUCGUACUCACUCAAUCAAGAUUGGAUUAAUUAGUGUUUUGGCCGGAAAAAUUAAAAAAUUGAUAUUCAGGCACUUCCGGCCAGAUUCGAGAUGAGUGGUUAUGGGGGUUGGAUUGAGGGUGCUCUGGCGAACCUAGGAUAUUAUUUUGGUGUCGUUUGGGGUGAGUGGCAUCAUGGUAGGAGAUAUUUCAAACGGAGAUUUGAGGGCAUGGGGUGGGAUUUGAAGGAUAUGGACUAGGGAUUCGAGAUAAGGGAGACGAGGAGAGGUUGGGGUGUUAUGUUGGGAUGGGUUGGUAAAAGCGGCGUUCGCCGCCGGCGGCUCCGCCGGUGGAGAUGCAGAGACUGGUACGAGGAAGGUAACAUUGGUCUUUAGGGUUAGACUAAAUUUUGGACAUUUUUAUUAAAAUGGCUUGAAU